rnacentral:rRNA from 1 species
UUCCGUUUGAUCCUGGCGGAGGCUACUGCUAUUGGGGUUCGAUUAAGCCAUGCAAGUUGAACGAUUCUUCGGAAUCGUGGCGAACGGCUCAGUAACACGUGGAUAACCUACCCUUAGGACCGGUAUAACCCUGGGAAACUGGGGACAAUCCCGGAUAGGUGAUUUUUUCUGUAAUGAUUUUUCAUUUAAAUGCUCUGGCGCCUGAGGAUGA